AUUGAACGCUGGCGGCAGGCCUAACACAUGCAAGUCGAGCGAGCGGCGGACGGGCGAGUAAUGUAUGGGGACUGCCCGAUAGAGGGGGAUAACUACUGGAAACGGUGGCUAAUACCGCUUACUAUCGGAUAACCCAUAUGGGAUUAGCUAGUAGGUGGGGUAAAGGCUAACCUAGGCGACGAUCUCUAGCUGGUCUGAGAGGAGGAUCGGCCACACUGGGACUGAGACACGGCCCAGACUCCUACGGAGGCAGCAGUGGGGAAUAUUGCACAAUGGGCGAAAGCCUGAUGCAGCCAGGCCGCGUGUAUGAAGAAGGCCUUAGGAUUGUAAAGUACUUUCAGCGGGGAAGCGUUACCCGCAGAAGAAGCACCGGCUAACUCCGUGCCAGCCGCCGCGGUAAUAC
rnacentral:rRNA from 1 species